rnacentral:misc_RNA from 1 species
AAGUCGUAACAAGGUUUCCGUAGGUGAACCUGCGGAAGGAUCAUUAAUGAAUUUGUAGACCGGGGUUGUCGCUGGCCUUCUCAGGCAUGUGCACGCCUUUGGUUCUUCAUCCAUCUCACACCUGUGCACCUCUGCGUGGGUCCAUUGGCUUCGCGGCCUUUGGAUUCGCGUCUUCUUAUUCAACUCUUGCAUGGCUUCGAAUGUCAUAUGAUGUAGUUAAAAAGACAUCUUGUACAACUUUCAACAACGGAUCUCUUGGCUCUC